rnacentral:tRNA from 2 species
UCCACAGUAGCUCAGUGGUAGAGUUAUCGGCUGUUAACCGAUCGGUCGUAGGUUCGAGUCCUACCUGUGGAGCCA